UUUUUCUGUAGGCUGAUAUUUUCACUUGUGCCAAAGAGACCAUCUGGGAGACCACAGAAAAUAGAAACAGAGUUGUAUGGUCCACUGAUGGUUGUCUUCACAUUGAUUGCUUUUCUUUUAAUGGAGAUGAAGUCAUCCUCACAUGUUGUGCGAGAGGGAACACUGAUGGGGUCUGCAAUAGGAUUAUGCUUUGGAUACUGGUUUAUCGCAUCUGGUCUAUUCUACACUGUCGCUUAUAUUUGUAACACUCAAAUUACACCCUUGCAAGUUUUGUCACUAACAG